GACGGAGGAUGCAAGCGUUAUCCGGAAUUAUUGGGCGUAAAGCGUCCGCAGGUGGCAGUUCAAGUCUGCUGUCAAAGACCGGGGCUUAACUUCGGAAAGGCAGUGGAAACUGAACAGCUAGAGUAUGGUAGGGGCAGAGGGAAUUCCUGGUGUAGCGGUGAAAUGCGUAGAGAUCAGGAAGAACAUCGGUGGCGAAGGCGAUCUGCUGGACCAUAACUGACACUCAGGGACGAAAGCUAGGGGAGCGAAUGGG
rnacentral:rRNA from 1 species